ensembl:lncRNA
UGCCGGUGUAGUAGGAUUCAAUCAUUAUCCUGUAUUGACGCUUUGCCUGUUUGGUAGUUCGUCUGAGGGCAUAGCGGGAUUUCUUAUAAGCGUCCGGAUUAGUGUCCCGCUCAGACUCAAUAAAGAAAAAUCUUGGUCCAGUUUGAGGACCUGAGCCCUAGGACCAUGCCUCAGGACGACCUGGCAUGAUGAUUCCUUGCUGUCCCCAGUCCACCUGGUCAUGCUGCUGCUCCAGUUUCGACUGUUCUGGCUGCGGCUAUGGAACACUGACCUGUUUACCGGACGUGCUACCUGUCCCAGACCUGCUGUUUUCAACUCUCUAGAGACAGCAGGAGCGGUCGGUAGAGAUGCUCUCAAUGAUCGGCUAUGAAAGGGCCAACUGACAUUUACUCCUGAGGCUCUGAUCUGUUGCACCCUCGACAACUACUGUGAUUAUUAUUAUUUGACCAUGCUGGUCAUUGAUGAACAUUUGAAAAAGCUCAAUACGGAACUGGUCCGAUGAAGCGGAUGCUGAGCUACAGGACUUUUUCGCUAGCACAGACUGGAUGGACACUUAUAAGAAAUCCCACUACACCCUCCGCCGAACAAUUUUGUGCAGCCUGGAGGAGAUCUUCGUGGGCUAUACUCAGCCUUGUUUCAGGGUAGUACGUUGGUGGUCUGUUGAUAUCCCUUUAGUGUUGUGGGGGCUGUUAUUGAGAAAAGUGGUUGGUUAUAUCCUGCCUGGUUGGCCCUGUCCGGGGGUAUAGUCAGACAGAGCCACCUUGUCACUCUUAUAGUCUCCACCCGGCACAGCCAGAAGGGGACUGGCCACCCCUCAGAGCCUGGUUCCUCUCUAGGUUUCUUCCUAGGUUCUUGGCUUUCUGGGGAGUUUUUCCUAGCCACCGUGCUUCCACAUCUGCAUUGCUUGUUGUUUGGGGUUUUAGGCUGGAUUUCUGUAUAAGCACUUUGUGACAUCUGCUGAUAUAAAAGGGCUUUAUAAAUACAUUUGAUUUGAUGAUCAAACAGUCAAAGCGUCAGUACAGGACCAAGAUCGAAUCCUACUACACCUGCUCUGAUGUCGUAUAUGGCAGGGCUUGCAAACCAUCAUGGAUUACAAAGGGAAACCCAGCCGCAAGCUGGCCUAUAUAUAAGACAGCUAUUAUUCAUCUGUGACCCUUAUGUAAUUACAGGCAGGGUGGGAAAUCAACACCAGCCACCAAC